rnacentral:rRNA from 1 species
AGUGAACGCUGGCGGCAUGCCUAACACAUGCAAGUCGAGCGGAAGCACGGUGAGCUUUUUCUCCUACGGUUGGCGAGGGGCGGGUGGGUGACGAAUAGAUCGCAUUCUUAUUUUACUUGGGUGACUUCGGGGAGCAGCAUCCGCUAACAGCGCAUAUGAUCUACGGCAUAGAUCAGUAGAUCUUGGGAGUUUUCGUGUCUGAUUUAGACGAUGUCGGAUUAGCUAGUUGGGGGGGUAAAGUCCCACCAAGGCAACGAUCCGUAGCUGGUCUGAGAGGAUGAUCAGCCACACUGGAACUGAGACACGGUCCAGACUCCUACGGGAGGCAGCAGUGGGGAAUAUUGGGCAAUGGGCGAAAGCCUGAUCCAGCAAUACCGCGUGGGUGAAGAAGGCCUUCGGGUUGUAAAGCCCUUUUGUUGGGAAAGAAAAGAAGCAGGUGUAUACACCGACGUUCUGACGGUACCUAAAGAAUAAGCACCGGCUAACUUCGUG